GAUGAACGCUGGCGGCGUGCCUAAUACAUGCAAGUCGAGCGAACAGACGAGGAGCUUGCUCCUCUGACGUUAGCGGCGGACGGGUGAGUAACACGUGGAUAACCUACCUAUAAGACUGGGAUAACUUCGGGAAACCGGAGCUAAUACCGGAUAAUAUAUUGAACCGCAUGGUUCAAUAGUGAAAGACGGUUUUGCUGUCACUUAUAGAUGGAUCCGCGCCGCAUUAGCUAGUUGGUAAGGUAACGGCUUACCAAGGCAACGAUGCGUAGCCGACCUGAGAGGGUGAUAGGCCACACUGGAACUGAGACACGGUCCAGACUCCUACGGGAGGCAGCAGUAGGGAAUCGUCCGCAAUGGGCGAAAGCCUGACGGAGCAACGCCGCGUGAGUGAUGAAGGUCUUCGGAUCGUAAAACUCUGUUAUUAGGGAAGAACAAAUGUGUAAGUAACUAUGCACGUCUUGACGGUACCUAAUCAGAAAGCCACGGCUAACUACGUG
rnacentral:rRNA from 1 species